GGGGGAUGGAAGAGCGCCUCAGAUGGAUUUGCAUCGAGAGGCUGUGCUCUGAAGCCCCUUAUGGGGUCUUGCUAAGCUGGAAUCCCACAUGAAGUCACACCAUCACGGGGCCUUCUCCACUGGGGCCUCCACCACGCUGAUGCCACUCAAGGUCAGGGACUCUCCAACUACAAAAAAAGGAGAGACCCAAUCUUGCUAUGCUGCCCAGGCUAGUCUUGAACCCCUGACCUCAAGCAAUCCUCCUGUCUCAGCCUCCCAAGUCUCUGGGAUUACAGCAGAAACUUCCAAUAAGAAGAUUGAGCCACCAGGCAGAUGUUAUAAGCAAUGUGAGCUUGUGCUGGAAGAAGAGAGAAUCCACCAGUGUCCUGGGCCCUCCGAGGCCUCUCUGAGGGAAAGACAUUUGGACAGAGAUGCCAAGGACAAGGAAGAGGCAGUCACCCACCUCUGAGCAAGGUGCAAAAGCCCAAGAUUCAUGUUCAUGUGUUGCAAGCACAAAAAGAAGAUCCUGUGGCUGGAGUAGAGUGAGGAACAGUGAGAAUGGUAGGAGCAGAGGGCAGAGAAAGGGGCAAAAACAAGGUCGCAUGAGGCCUUGUAAGCCAUGGUCAAGAAGUGAUAUUUUAUUUUAAAUGAAUCCAAAGUAAUUGCAAGGUUUUGAGCAAGUAAGCAAAACGCUCCUUUGCAAAAAACAAAAAAACAAAAAAAACUCUAGGGCUUCAGUAAGGCAAACAAAUUGUGAGUGGGAAAGAGUGGAUGCAGGACUUUUAGGCAAGGGUGGGGUAAGGGAAGGUGGAGAAGAGAAGACAUAAGAUGUUUGGAGGUGGAGCCAACAGGAUGCAUUAUUGACUAGGUUGCAGGUACCUGGCAGGAGACAGGGGCUUUCUCGACCACUCAUGCAAGAGAAGAGUCCAGGAUGCUGCUUCAGUCACCUGUCUGUCCACAAUGACAAUGGGGCAUGAAAAAAUGCCCUAACUCAGGGACAUAAAAUAAUUAGCUUUUAUUUAGUACACAAGUCUGAACUUUGCAUUUUAGGCUGGGCUCGGCUGGGCAGUUGUUCUGGUUUUGAAAGGGCUCAUUCACAUUCUGGUGGUGGGUUGGCUGUUAGCUGGGAUAAGAGGUAAAUGGGCCAUUUGGCUCCCACCCUCCAUGUGAGGCUGGCCCAGGCACAUCCUCAUGGUGAAGGCCAAGGUGGAAAACUGGACCAGCCCAAGCACAAAGCAUUUUUCAUGCCUCUUCUCCUGCUUAUUUGUUAUCCCCCCUUUGACCAAAGCAAGUCACAGGACAGAUCUCAGCAUCAAAGUGGGUGGCCCUAUAAAGAUAGAUGGCCAGGGGUGAGGACUUAGACCACUCAUGCAAUCUGUCUACCCACCACAGAAGGUCCUAGAUGUUUGACUUGAAUAACAGGGUAGCUGAAGGUGCCUUUUAUUGCCAUGGGGCAAACUGGGAGAGGAAUGCAUUGUAGAUGGCAGGAAUCAGGGAUUCUGUUUUGGCUUAGGGACCUGCCGGGCAGCUUUAUGUUCCCUAAAGCACUGAGUGAGGGCUCAUGGGAACUGCUCCAUGUCUAUGGGUAAUUCUGCUCUUCUGGUUUUGAAUAAAAUUCACUAACCUGGAGUUUCAAAGUCCCAAGAAGGCAAAACCUUUUGAUGAUGAUGCCAGUGAGCCUGCAUUCAGGUGACAACAUGGCAGAGAGCAGUUCCUCCCCAGUCCCAAAGUGACACCCGUCAGCUGAACAGUGACGGACAUUUGUCACUUGCCAGAUUCCUUCUGUCUGUCAUGUCCCCAUCCUGUCUCCACUGCAGAAGGAGCUGGAGCCUCCUUUUACUGAGAGGCUCUCCAAUCUUAUGCUGAUCGUUAACUAAGAUAUUUCUCUCCAGAGAUUUAUUACAUUAAUGAGCUCUGAAAUUACUCAUAGCAAUUAAGUAUAUUGUUUUUAAACUCUUCAGAAAUCAUCAAAACACAUUGGUUGUUUUUCAGGGAAACAUAAAUAAAGGGUACAACUUGUCACCC